CGGCACGCCUAACACAUGCAAGUCGAACGAAGUAGCAAUACUUAGUGGCGAACGGGUGAGUAUAAUGUGGGAAUCUGCCUUUUGGUUUGGAAUAACAUGGGGAAACUUGUGCUAAUACCAAAUAAGCCUUCACAGGGAAAGUUUUAACGCCAAGAGAUGAGCCCGCACUUGAUUAGCUAGUUGGUAAGGUAAUGGCUUACCAAGGCUACGAUCAAUAGCUGAUCUGAGAGGAUGAUCAGCCACAUUGGGACUGAGACACGGCCCAAACUCCUACGGGAGGCAGCAGUGGGGAAUCUUGCACAAUGGGGGAAACCCUGAUGCAGCGAUGCCGCGUGAGUGAAGAAGGCCCUUGGGUUGUAAAGCUCUUUCGUCGGGGAAGAAAAUGACUGUACCCGAAUAAGAAGGUCCGGCUAACUUCGUGCCAGCAGCCGCGGUAAUACGAAGGGACCUAGCGUAGUUCGGAAUUACUGGGCUUAAAGAGCUCGUAGGUGGUUAGAAAAGUUGGUGGUGAAAUCCCAAGGCUUAACCUUGGAACUGCCAUCAAAACUUUUUAACUAGAGUAUGAUAGAGGAAAGUGGAAUUUCUAGUGUAGAGGUGAAAUUCGUAGAUAUUAGAAAGAACACCGAUUGCGAAGGCAGCUUUCUGGAUCAUUACUGACACUGAGGAGCGAAAGCAUGGGUAGCGAAGAGGAUUAGAUACCCUCGUAGUCCAUGCUGUAAACGAUGUGUGCUAGACGUUGGAAAUUUAUUUUUCAGUGUCGCAGCAAAAGCAUUAAGCACACCGCCUGGGGAGUACGA
rnacentral:rRNA from 1 species